rnacentral:rRNA from 1 species
UAGGGAAUAUUGGGCAAUGGAGGGAACUCUGACCCAGCCAUGCCGCGUGCAGGAUGAAGGCGUUAUGCGUUGUAAACUGCUUUUUAUAUAGGAAGAAAUAGUCCUUGCGAGGAAAGUUGACGGUACUAUAUGAAUAAGCACCGGCUAACUCCGUGCCAGCAGCCGCGGUAAUACGGAGGGUGCAAGCGUUGUCCGGAUUUAUUGGGUUUAAAGGGUGCGUAGGCGGUUUAUUAAGUCAGUGGUGAAAGACGGUCGCUCAACGAUUGCAGUGCCAUUGAUACUGGUAGACUUGAGUAUGAUUGAGGUAGCUGGAAUGGAUAGUGUAGCGGUGAAAUGCAUAGAUAUUAUCCAGAACACCAAUUGCGUAGGCAAGUUACUAAGUCAUAACUGACGCUGAGGCACGAAAGUGCGGGUAUCAAACAGGAUUAGAUACCCAUGUAGUCCCUGAGCGGGCUGGCAAGGCGCAU